GCAUAACGCGAAGAACCUUACCAGGGCUUGACAUCCCUUGAAAGUCCUAGAGAUAGGAUUUCUCUUCGGAGCAAGGAGACAGGUGGUGCAUGGUUGUCGUCAGCUCGUGUCGUGAGAUGUUGGGUUAAGUCCCGCAACGAGCGCAACCCCUGUUGUUAGUUGCCAUCAUUAAGUUGGGCACUCUAGCGAGACUGCCGGUGACAAAUCGGAGGAAGGUGGGGACGACGUCAAAUCAUCAUGCCCCUUAUGUCCUGGGCUACACACGUACUACAAUGGCUGUUACAAAGGGAAGCUAAGCCGCGAGGUGGAGCAAAUCCCCAAAGGCAGCCCCAGUUCAGAUUGCAGGCUGAAACUCGUCUGCAUGAAGUCGGAAUUGCUAGUAAUGGCAGGUCAGCAUACUGCCGUGAAUACGUUCCCGGGUCUUGUACACACCG
rnacentral:rRNA from 1 species